CCCUUAGAUGUUCUGGGCCGCACACGCGCUACACUGAAGGAGGCAGCGUGUACUCCUGGAUCGAAAGAUUUGGGUAACCCGCGAAUCUCCUUCGUGCUAGGGAUUGAGGUUUGCAAUUAUCCUUCAUGAACGAGGAAUUCCCAGUAAGUGCAAGUCAUAAGCUUGCGCUGACUACGUCCCUGCCCUUUGUACACACCGCCCGUCGCUACUACCGAUUGAAUGAUUUAGUGAGGACUUCGGACUGGGACCGAUGCGGCUUUCGGGCUGCGUCGGUAUUCUGGAAUGAUGUCCAAACUGUAUCAUUUAGAGGAAGUAAAAGUCGUAACA
rnacentral:rRNA from 1 species